rnacentral:rRNA from 1 species
AGAGUUUGAUCCUGGCUCAGGACGAACGCUGGCGGCGUGCUUAACACAUGCAAGUCGAACGAGAAUCUGUGGAAAGAGGAUUCGUCCAAUUGAAGCAGAGGACAGUGGCGGACGGGUGAGUAACGCGUGAGGAACCUGCCUUUCAGAGGGGGACAACAGUUGGAAACGACUGCUAAUACCGCAUAACAUAUAGAUGUCGCAUGGCAUUUAUAUCAAAGAUUUAUCGCUGAAAGAUGGCCUCGCGUCUGAUUAGCUAGUUGGUGAGGUAACGGCCCACCAAGGCGACGAUCAGUAGCCGGACUGAGAGGUUGAACGGCCACAUUGGGACUGAGAUACGGCCCAGACUCCUACGGGAGGCAGCAGUGGGGAAUAUUGGGCAAUGGGCGCAAGCCUGACCCAGCAACGCCGCGUGAAGGAAGAAGGCUUUCGGGUUGUAAACUUCUUUUACCAGGGACGAAGGACGUGACGGUACCUGGAGAAAAAGCCACGGCUAACUACGUGCCAGCAGCCGCGGUAAUACGUAGGUGGCAAGCGUUGUCCGGAUUUACUGGGUGUAAAGGGCGUGUAGCCGGGAGGGCAAGUCAGAUGUGAAAUCCACGGGCUCAACUCGUGAACUGCAUUUGAAACUACUCUUCUUGAGUAUCGGAGAGGCAAUCGGAAUUCCUAGUGUAGCGGUGAAAUGCGUAGAUAUUAGGAGGAACACCAGUGGCGAAGGCGGCCUGCUGGACGACAACUGACGCUGAGGCGCGAAAGCGUGGGGAGCAAACAGGAUUAGAUACCCUGGUAGUCCACGCUGUAAACGAUGUCGACUUGGAGGUUGUGCCCUUGAGGCGUGGCUUCCGGAGCUAACGCGUUAAGUCGACCGCCUGGGGAGUACGGCCGCAAGGUUAAAACUCAAAUGAAUUGACGGGGGCCCGCACAAGCGGUGGAGCAUGUGGUUUAAUUCGAUGCAACGCGAAGAACCUUACCUACUCUUGACAUCCAGAGAAUUUAGCAGAGAUGCUUUAGUGCCUUCGGGAACUCUGAGACAGGUGCUGCAUGGCUGUCGUCAGCUCGUGUUGUGAAAUGUUGGGUUAAGUCCCGCAACGAGCGCAACCCUUAUCCUUUGUUGCCAGCGCGUAAUGGCGGGAACUCAAAGGAGACUGCCGGUGAUAAACCGGAGGAAGGUGGGGAUGACGUCAAGUCAUCAUGGCCCUUACGAGUAGGGCUACACACGUGCUACAAUGGCAUAUACAAAGAGAAGCGAACUCGCGAGAGCAAGCGGACCUCAUAAAGUAUGUCGUAGUCCGGAUUGGAGUCUGCAACUCGACUCCAUGAAGUCGGAAUCGCUAGUAAUCGUGGAUCAGCAUGCCACGGUGAAUACGUUCCCGGGCCUUGUACACACCGCCCGUCACACCAUGGGAGUGGGUUGCAAAAGAAGUAGGUAGCUUAACCUUCGGGAGGGCGCUUACCACUUUGUGAUUCAUGACUGGGGUGAAGUCGUAACAAGGUAACCGUAGGGGAACCUGCGGUUG